GAAAAUAAGAUCAGCAUUUGACGUUGCAUUUUCAAAGACUUAGUCUGCUCUAUAGUGGACUUUAUUCAAAUGCAAUGAGUGAAACAGCGCCCCCCAGUCUAUUGUAUUGCAUUUACAUUUACAAGCAGCUUUCCAAGGGACACAAUGCAAAUGAAAAUUCAAUCCGUCAGUCCUCUCAUCAAGGCGAGUCCUCAGUUAAGACGUCCCUUCCUUUUCAGUUGGAAGGCCACUUCAGGUUCUCAUGGUUCAGUUGUGUAUCUACCAUUACACAACACUAGGCAGUAAUUUCACAACCAAAUGAAAUCUAUCGACCGAACAGCUCAAGGAUGGAUCUAUACCAACUUCAAACUUGGAACCUACAGGCCAGCAGAGGUGUUUCCUGCCAGGCUAACAGAAGACAAUCAGAGGACUCCUCACUCCUCCUCAAUUACAGAGGCUGACAUGAAACCAUCUGAGACUUACUAUAAUGAGUGAGCAAGCCAGUGAUCCACAAAGGAUUCAAAUAUCAACGAGGUAUGUCCCUGUCAGAAACAGCUCUCCAUGUUGAAUCAGUGCCUCUGAACAGCAAAAACAGAAUAUUUUAACCUUCACGAAGGUAGGAUUAUUGCAGGACUGCAUUAGUUUUAGCUUGGUGUACCUAAUAAACUGGCAGCUGUAUCUGCUUAUAGGCCCCAUAGAAACAUACCAAACUUGUAUAUUUAAGAGUAAGUUAGUGGAGUGCAAAUACCAUAUCCAGCCAACAAUAACUAGGACAAGCUUUCUUUCACAAUAUGAAUAUAGUGACAUAAGACAUACAAAUAAUUUGAGCUUCGGAGGCAUUUACACAUCCUUUCAGCUGCUGUUCUUACUGUGUUGAAUGCUCUUAGUGGCCUUAAUAGGUGCACCUUUACAUUGUAA